UUUAUUCCUCUUAUACUUUUUAUCUUACUCUUUUAGACCCAUCUUGACCCUCCGCUGAAUUAGAAUUAAAACGACAUCGUUUUAAUCAGUUUUGCUCUCGUCAUCCCCCCCCUUUGCCGUAACCACCUAUCAGCAUAUGAUACUCGCUGACACAACUUCACCGCACCAGAAAAGAACACGCCCAACCGAACCGAACCACCAGCACUACUUCCACCGGCAAUGCUGCCACUAAUUCCACCGGCACCACCGCCUGACCACCCUUGAUCUCACCACCACAAACAGCAGAAGCUUAAAAAAGAAAAGAUGGCACAAAAGCUGAAGCUUAAAGUGCAAACGCUGAUAACAAAACUAUCAGACAGAGACACGUACACGAUAGCGUCAAGAGAAAUAGAAAGAAUCGCUGAGUCCCUCGAUAACACGACGAUUUCUACUUUCCUCUCUUGCAUCCUCUCCACCGACUCUACCGACAAGCCAUUAGUACGCAAACACUGCCUUCACCUUCUCUCGACACUCUCUCAUCUCUAUUCUAAUUCUCUCUCCAGUUCUCUACCUAAAAUCCUCUCUUACAUUACUCGCCGUCUCCGCGACCCCGACUCCUCCAUCAUCCGCUCACAAUGUUUGACAGCAAUGACCUCUCUCGCUUCCAAAAUCACCAAAGUGCCAUUCUCUACUGUAUUUUUGAAGCAGUUGAGUGAGUCGGUGUUCACGGAGCAGGAAUUGAAUGCGCAGAUUGGAUCCGCUUUGUGUCUGGCUGCGGCGAUCGAUGCGGCGCCGGAUCCAGAACCGGGGAGGUUGGGAAAAGUGUUGCUGCCGAGAUUGGAGAGGCUGGUGAAGAGCGAAGGGUAUAAAGCGAAGUUUGCAGGAUUGGUUGUUGUAGGGAGUGUGAUUGGUGUUGGUGGAGUGAGAGGGACUGGAGGAGGAACUGGAGGUUUGGUUAAGUGUUUGAUUGGGUUUUUGAGUACCGAGGAUUGGAAUUCGAGGAAAGCUGCGGCCGAGGCGUUGAGGAAGUUGGCUGUUGUGGAGAGAGAUGGUGUUGCUGAGUUCAAGAGUGAGUGCUUGAAAGUUUUCGAGAGUCGGAGAUUUGAUAAGGUGAAGGCUGCAAGGGAGGUGAUGAAUGAGGCAAUAGAGGCAUGGAAACAGGUUCCGGAUGUUUCGGAGGAGGAAUCCCCGCCUCCUCGAUCACUGGCUUCUUCCAGAGAAGAUGCAAGAGACUGGCGCCACGGGUCUGGAUCCGAAAAACUUCACCUUGCGGGUUCCGAAGCCCCACAAAUGAGGACAAAAUCCAUUUUGGAUAUCAAGAAUACUCCACCUGACAGUUCAUUAAUAGCAACCACAGCUAGGAAGAGAGGUCCUUUAAAGAGCACUGACGAGAGAACUAAUCCAGCAAUGUAUGGGAAAGUGGACCAGAAGAAGAUGGUGGACUGGAAAGUUGAAAUUUCAGUUCCUAAUAGGAUUUCCUCAACUGCAGCUGGGGAAAAUGAUCUUAAGAUGAAAAAUGCUAAAGUUCCAGAAAAAAGGUUUGCAAAGCCAGAAACAAAACGAUCCCUUUUUAGUAAGAACUCGGAUGACAAGAAACUUAAAUUUGGUGGUUUCAAGUCUGGGUCUCGUGUGGCUCCUUGUCAUGAGGAGAGCCCUCAUUCUACUGUUGUAGCUAGCAGUGGGACUGAAAAUCACCAUAGUAACCACAACGAGUGUGAGGAUUUGUCUUUGAUUCGAUACCAGCUUGUUCAGAUUGAAAGACAGCAAUCUAGCCUGCUAGAUCUUCUGCAGAGUUUUAUUGGGAGCUCGCAAAAUGGGAUGCAUUCCCUUGAGACACGUGUGCGUGGCCUAGAGUUGGCGCUGGAUGAGAUAUCAUAUGAUUUGGCUGUAUCUAGUGGAAGGAUGACCAACACAGAUUCCAACAGAACCACAUGUUGUUUACUACCUGGUGCUGACUUCUUGAGCUCCAAGUUUUGGAAGAAAACAGAAGGCCGGUAUUCAAACUCAAGGAUUUAUUCAUCCAGGGGUACUCCAUUAUCGGCUGUUAUGCGCCAUAGAGCUGAUAGGAAUGACCAUUCUGAAACAAUCAAUUUGGGGAACCAAAGGUUACGGCUUCAGGGUGGUGGUGGCUUGAUUGUGAAUCCCCUGGCAGAGAUUCAUGGUGGCUCACGGGUGAACUCAGAGGUGACACAACAAUAGCCAAGGAUCAGCAGAUUUGUGGGUUCACUGCAUAACUGGGACGGUCCAAUUUCUGUGGAAUCUUCAUUUUAGAAGAAACCAGUAAAUGAAGAAGGGAAAGUUAAAGACUAUCAGUUAGGAGUCCCAGUAAAGCAGCCAAUUCUAUCAUAGCCUUUUGCAGUAACAGGGUGAAAGAAGACAAUUCAUGCCAUAAUUCUUCAUUUUUGUGUAACAUUCUUUUUCUUCCUGUUUCGAGCAUUGCGAAUGCCAACAUAAUGGUGAGAGACAGAGAGAGACAUUCUGAGGAUUGGGUGAACAAGCCACCACCAUAUAUCCCCAGCCUGGAAUGUCAGCUCUAGAAAUACUCAAAAAGACCAGCUGGUUAAUUGCACAGUGUUGUAGAAGGACCAUACCGCUCGAAUUUAACGUUCUCUGGGGUAAAUAAGUAUUUACCUAUACGCAGCGGCAGGCUGAAAUGCAAAAUCUUCCACUGAAGAAGAUUUAACAGUACAGCCCUCAUCUUAUAUGAUACUAGAAUAUUACCCGUGCUAUGUCACUUCCAAAAAUAGAACUUGUUUUUUUUUUUAAAAAAAAGAAAUUAACUAUGAAUUCAAAAUUUACUGUACAUUAGAUCAUAUAUUUUUUAAAUAUUGCUUGAUGGAACCAUUAUUUUUUUUAUUAUUAA